GAUGAACGCUGGCGGCGUGCCUAAUACAUGCAAGUCGAGCGAACGGACGAGAAGCUUGCUUCUCUGAUGUUAGCGGCGGACGGGUGAGUAACACGUGGAUAACCUACCUAUAAGACUGGGAUAACUCCGGGAAACCGGAGCUAAUACCGGAUAAUAUUUUGAACCGCAUGGUUCAAAAGUGAAAGACGGUCUUGCUGUCACUUAUAGAUGGAUCCGCGCUGCAUUAGCUAGUUGGUAAGGUAACGGCUUACCAAGGCAACGAUGCAUAGCCGACCUGAGAGGGUGAUCGGCCACACUGGAACUGAGACACGGUCCAGACUCCUACGGGAGGCAGCAGUAGGGAAUCUUCCGCAAUGGGCGAAAGCCUGACGGAGCAACGCCGCGUGAGUGAUGAAGGUCUUCGGAUCGUAAAACUCUGUUAUUAGGGAAGAACAUAUGUGUAAGUAACUGUGCACAUCUUGACGGUACCUAAUCAGAAAGCCACGGCUAACUACGUGCCAGCAGCCGCGGUAAUACGUAGGUGGCAAGCGUUAUCCGGAAUUAUUGGGCGUAAAGCGCGCGUAGGCGGUUUUUUAAGUCUGAUGUGAAAGCCCACGGCUCAACCGUGGAGGGUCAUUGGAAACUGGAAAACUUGAGUGCAGAAGAGGAAAGUGGAAUUCCAUGUGUAGCGGUGAAAUGCGCAGAGAUAUGGAGGAACACCAGUGGCGAAGGCGACUUUCUGGUCUGUAACUGACGCUGAUGUGCGAAAGCGUGGGGAUCAAACAGGAUUAGAUACCCUGGUAGUCCACGCCGUAAACGAUGAGUGCUAAGUGUUAGGGGGUUUCCGCCCCUUAGUGCUGCAGCUAACGCAUUAAGCACUCCGCCUGGGGAGUACGACCGCAAGGUUGAAACUCAAAGGAAUUGACGGGGACCCGCACAAGCGGUGGAGCAUGUGGUUUAAUUCGAAGCAACGCGAAGAACCUUACCAAAUCUUGACAUCCUUUGACAACUCUAGAGAUAGAGCCUUCCCCUUCGGGGGACAAAGUGACAGGUGGUGCAUGGUUGUCGUCAGCUCGUGUCGUGAGAUGUUGGGUUAAGUCCCGCAACGAGCGCAACCCUUAAGCUUAGUUGCCAUCAUUAAGUUGGGCACUCUAAGUUGACUGCCGGUGACAAACCGGAGGAAGGUGGGGAUGACGUCAAAUCAUCAUGCCCCUUAUGAUUUGGGCUACACACGUGCUACAAUGGACAAUACAAAGGGCAGCGAAACCGCGAGGUCAAGCAAAUCCCAUAAAGUUGUUCUCAGUUCGGAUUGUAGUCUGCAACUCGACUACAUGAAGCUGGAAUCGCUAGUAAUCGUAGAUCAGCAUGCUACGGUGAAUACGUUCCCGGGUCU
rnacentral:rRNA from 1 species